GGUCGGGGAAGGCAGGCUGUGCGGAGCAGAGAGCCGAAUCACACAGCGUCACAUCGGGUCUGCGGGCUGCUCUAUCUGUUCCACGUGAUAGUACUCGAAGGUGGGGCCUUUGGGAGAGGAUGCCGUCAUAAACGAUUAGCUCCUCCAUGAAGGGAUUAAUGAAUGCCCUUAUGACAGAGAGCCCAUGAAGAGCCUCUAUCAUGUGAGUUCACAUGGAGGAGAUGGAACUUAUGAACAUGGAAGUCAGGUUUCAUCAAACUCUGAAUCUGAAUUUCAUCAAAAGCUGAAAUCUGGGCGAAAUCUCUCCCAAACAGUGAGGAAUGAAUGUCUGUUGUGAUUAGCCAUCCAGUCUGUGGUAUUUUUGUUGUAGCAGCCUGAAUGGGCUAAGACAGGGACCAAAGUUCAAGGCAGAGGAGAACACUGGUGUGAAGGCACUGUGCUCCAGAAGGGAACGUGCUCCAGGAAGGAGGGAAAGCGGAUGUGAGUGAGAAACGGCGCCAGGAGAGGCAAUAGUGAUGAAGAUUUUUCAGUGUAGUAGGAGAAACCGGCAGCUUCUAAGCAAGGCAAUAACGAGAUUUCCUUUUCCAGAUAAUCAGUCUACUUAACAAUACUUAAUAGUACUACUUAAUAGUACUUAAGGUCUACGUAAUAGUAACUAAGCCCUGUGAAGAGUAGAAGCAGGGAGGCAUAUGAAGGUGGCCCCUGUGUCAACCAGGCCGGAGGAAUACCCUGGAUAAGGGCAGUCAGUGGUGGAGAAGCUGGGAAAGAGCUAGAGGGGGGAAAUGAGCGCACCACUGGCCAAGAUGCCAGAGCUGUGGGGAGACGCUGGAUUUGCCAUGGAGGUGGAAUUGCCAGAGGUUGAUGCUGAGCAAAACAUACAGCACACAGAACACAGCAAGCUCAAAGGCUGGAAGGCAGAGGCUGCAAGAACAUAAUCCACAUGAACAAAAUAUUGGGCAAGAUCAUUGGAUUAAUUCAAGUCAUACAAGGACUGAUUUUAUCUUGUUCUUCAGAUCCAGGGUGACCUCACUUCAUCAUUGGGCCCAGCCAAUUAAAAGGACUACUGUAAGUACAGCCUCAGCGACCAGCUCAAGAACACUUGAUAAGUUAUGGCAAAGCUCCUAUCUGACUUCCAUAUUAGCCACCAUACCCUGAUACUACUUUGCCAGUUCUAAGACAAGGUGCCAUGCACCACUGAAGAGAAAGAGGCAACAAAGCAGACACCCAUGAAGAAGAAGAAAUGAGGACCCAAGAGGUGAAGAGUGAAUCCCUUCCUGAGGUCCAGUCUCAUGCCUAUCAACAGGAAACACAAGUCAUCACCAUUUACGUGAAAAAAAUUACCUGAGCUGCAUGACAUAAUAUUUCACACUGAACUGAUAACAAUUUCAAGCCAGAACAAAGACUUAAUAGCUUACGCAGAUUAUCACCGUCUAUGUACCAUAUGUUCAGAAUAUUACAAAAAAUGGAAAAAGGGUUUUUGGAGCCCCAGGAAUAAAACAAUGGCCAAAUCAUUCAUUCAGGAUGCAUUUUGUACGUUUUUUCACUGCUGUGUUCCUAGACAGCACCUGAUACACUACAGGUGCUCAAUAAAUAAGGCUUAUCAUGCAGUUGGCUGUACAACAGA
ensembl:lncRNA